UGGGGAAUAUUGCGCAAUGGGGGAAACCCUGACGCAGCAACGCCGCGUGAAGGAAGAAGGCUUUCGGGUUGUAAACUUCUUUGAUUAGGGACGAAAAAAAUGACGGUACCUAAAAAACAAGCCACGGCUAACUACGUGCCAGCAGCCGCGGUAAUACGUAGGUGGCAAGCGUUGUCCGGAAUUACUGGGUGUAAAGGGCGUGUAGGCGGGAAUAUAAGUCAGAUGUGAAAUUCCCAGGCUCAACUUGGGAGCUGCAUCUGAAACUAUAUUUCUUGAGUACUGGAGAGGAAAGUGGAAUUCCUAGUGUAGCGGUGAAAUGCGUAGAUAUUAGGAGGAACACCAGUGGCGAAGGCGACUUUCUGGACAGUAACUGACGCUGAGGCGCGAAAGCGUGGGGAGCAAACAGG
rnacentral:rRNA from 1 species